UAAUUACAUUAAUACAUUAUCAUAUAAUGGAAUUUCUUAGGGACAUAAAAAACAAUGACUUAUUAUAUUAUAUGAUUACAUAAGACAUAGUAUAUUAGUAUAUCAAGAUAACAGACACCACAACCUAUUCAUGAGACGCAGCCCAAACAAGAAAUACAGUAAAAAUCACUAUUUCAGAUAAUGUGUCGAUGGAAGAAUCAGUAGUCACUCUUCUUAGUGGAAGCAAAUCUCUCAAUAGAGUGGUGAAUCCUUCUGAUAAUACACUAUUUCUCCACUAUCACUAACAAAAUGGUCUUCAUUAAUGCUUCUUACCAAAUUUUGGAGCAAAUGAAAAGGAACUGGUCCUGAUUUUUUGGGCUCUCUGUAAUACAUGCCCAUGAUUGGUUUAGCCGCCCUUGUCUGUGUGCAAAACAAAUGAAACAGUACUGUUAUACAUGGGAGGACGUGCACUAGUAGAC
rnacentral:lncRNA from 1 species